GUCCCACCAGAGAAAUUGAAAAACUAAAGUUUCCUGAAGAAAUAACUUUUUUCUUAAAUGUUUAUUAUUCAUAUAUGGGAGAAGAAAGGAAAAAUGAGGAGAGAAUUGAUCCAAACCACAUUCUCACAUAACAGCUAUGUAGUUGAAAGGGGACACAUAAACAAACAGUACUCCUUUAAAUUUUGAUAAACCAAAAGUGAUAAUGCAUCUGUAGAUUUUUCAUGACUGAUUACUUUUGUCAAGUUUAUCUUUAUUUACUGUCUGUGUUUUAUUGAGUUGAAAUGGGUCAGAGAUGGAGAAGAAAUUAAUUUUGUUAUUACAUGGUUCAUAUAUAUCUAUUUCUCUUAUCUCUCCCCUCUUUUUGAAAUUAAUUUUGUUAUUACAUGGUUCAUAUAUAUCUAUUUCUCUUAUCUCUCCCCUCUUUUUUUUAAACGAUCCGCGCAUCGCGCGGGUACUUAUACUAGUUUGUGUAAAAUUCGGCUAAUAAGUGCAACUCCUAUCCUAAAAAGUCGGUAUUUGUGUUGUAAACUCGCCCACAAAUUGCAUAACAUCAAGCCCCUCACGCCACUUUAAAAACAUUUUGAAAGCCCUGCGUGGUUAAGCUUCGGCUCUACAGCAUAGCAGUUUCCCUAAUCGGCGGAUCCUGGUUAGUGUUCUCUCGCUCUCUUUCUCAAAAUUUUACAUUAUUGUUUCUGUUUCAUAUGAUGGAUGAUUUGGGAUGUGAACUUACAGGUAAUAAUAAUAAGAAGAAAAAAUUCUUACCUCCCGUAAUUGUAAAGUACCAUUCUUGUCUUAUAUAAUCGUACUUAGCAUUUUUGGUCAAUAGAUUUUGUGAAACUUGAUUGAUAAAAAGAGUUUUUGAAGUUGUGUUGAAAGAUAGUUUUUGGAACUUGAAGUUGUGUUUGGACAUGCAUUUUCCUUGGAAAAAUUUGAAGUUUUGUGAGUGGAAGAAAAAUUUCACCCAGAAACUGGUCCAAUCUUGCACUUCUUUAGAGAUUGCAGCCAGAUACAUGUGCAAUGUGAUGGUGUCCUCGCCCGUACGCAUGAAUGUAUGUGUCUCUGGACGCCAUCUCUCAAGAAGUGUAGUAAUGAGGGCCCGAAUCAAGAGAGUCCGAGUAUCCAGCGUUCGGUUAUUGGCAGAGCAGAUGAGCAACAUUUCGGUGGAGUCUAUGAAUGCUGCCGCCCAGGGGACAAGGUUGACAUUUGAUCCAGACUAUACACCACCGGCACAGUACCAGCCACUGCCUAAUGUGCCCAUGGGGCGAGGUUCCAUAUUACCCAGCUAAGGAUAUGGUCACUACACCAGCCCAUCAGCCUCACUUUGAGCCAUUACUCACCUCACAUUGAUGUGCUUUUGAGAAUCUCGUAAGUUCCACAGCUCUGCGUAUUAUUUUGUUUCUUGCAAUCUCUGGAGUAAUAUAUUCUCUUUUCAAUUUUGUGAUACAUGAAAAUUUGGUAAUUAGCUGGUCAUGUCGUAGUGAAUACCGUGUCUUGCAGUCAGUGGCGGAGCCAAGAUUUAUGUCAAGGGGGUUCAAAAAUAUAAAGAAGCCAUAAAUGAAGAAGCUAAGGGGGUUCAACGUCUACUAUAUAUACAUAAAAAAUAAUUUUCACCUUAUAUAUACAGUGUAAUUUUUCGCCGAAGGGGGUUCGGAUGAACCCCCUCGGCUCUAUCUACGUCCGCCACUGCUUGCAGUGGUGUAUCUGGAGAAGGCUCUGGUGUUUAGGUAGAGGGUUCUCCUCCUAUCACCGAGGCAGUUUCAACUCCUCCUGCUGCCGACUGUGGCAUUUCAUUGCAGCAAAACUUGUCCCAGUUGGAUAUGGUAUAAAGAAACUGCAAAUCAUGCUUACCAUUGUGGAUGACUUGGUGUCUGUUGAUGAUCUCGUUGAGAAUCAUCUGACAGUAGAACCAAUUAACCAGUACGUUCAGAGCUGCGAUAUUGUGGGCUUUCAACAAAAUAUGAAUUUGUUACUGCAUUGAGGUGAUGGAAGUGAGUGAUGAAUCAUGAUGGAGUUUUACUUUUUUCGCCCUCCCUAUAGACUUCAGAUUUUGUUUUUCCUAAGGAAGUUGGAUCUGAUAUGGUCCAUCUAUUUUGUUCCUGGGGAUGGAUUUUUUGAAUUUGAGAAGAGUUAUAUUCAAUCCGUGAUUUAAUUUACCUUACACGUGGUGAUUGCAAUAUGAUGUCCAAGUUAUUAGAUAUCUGCAAUGGAACUAUGGUUGCAGCGUUGAUGUAUGAGCUAAAACACCUAUCAAAGUAACUUGGAAGAGAACACUCCCAACAAACUUUUGCGUUUAUUCUUUUCUGGAUCUUCAAUAUUGUGAUUUAUCUACCAUGGAGGUCUAUCUGCAUAAUAACUUGAUUAAGUGUUCUAAAACGAAAGAAGUACUAUGGCCAAAUUUGAUGGAAGAAAGGCGUCAAGGUCAUGUGUUUUUCAGGACGAUUGAUAAACGUGUGCUAGGUAGGUGUGAUGUGUAAAAAAGAUUUGACCGGAAGAUGGGAAAGCAUGUAUUGCCCAGAACAAAAUUUCAAAAUGUUAUCUAUGGUCUAUAUACCAUGAAGAGUGAUGGCAAAAACAAGUUGCAGAAACCGCUAUACAGCUCAACUCUGAAAUUUAUUAUUUGCAGAAAUCAAAGCACAUUCUCCAGUGAUAAUUUCGCCUUUUAAAAUCUCUCUUAUCAGCCUCCACCAUCUUGGCAGGGCUGCCGGCCCACUCUGUGGUUAGUCUGUUUGAUAAAAACUUAACCUCAGUAAACAUAUGAGAUUGAGAAUCAAUUGUGAGAAGUAGUUUAGCAGAAACUUACACAGGAAAUGCAAAAGAUUUUGUGCUGUUGGUGCUACUCGACCGAACAGAGAUGUUAUCAUGACAUUGCUUCGUUGCUGAGACCGCUACAAGAUUCGAGUCUUCAUGAUCUGGAAGCUUUUCAGUGUUCUGACUCGCAAACAGUGAUGCUAAACUUCUUGGCGUUCCAUAUUCAAUGCUUGUGCUGUUUUCUGCCUUUGUAUUUGGUACUGAUCCUUCUCUAGAAAUUGAAUCUGCUACACUAUUUUUGUCACAACAUGCUUCCUUGGAGACGAACUCAGAGGCCAUUGAGACUGGUUUCAUCUCUUUAUCCUAUAAAAAGAGCUCUCUGUCCAAACUCGGCCGUUUUGGAAAAUCAUGGCUAAAGGAAAUGGCAUCAGCAAUCUCAGUAGCAGCUUUAGAUUCCAUCAAUAGCUUCUUAGAGUCGUCGUCAAACUGCUUAACAAUGCCC